rfam:Canis lupus familiaris chromosome 14, whole genome shotgun sequence.
CUAGAAGAACCGAAAACAGUUCUAGACAGACCUGGGGUUUUAUAGCAGUUUUGGCAGUCAACUUCAGCUUGUGCCUGAGCAGACCGGCUGCGGUGGCCCACCAGCGGGGGACGCCAGGCCGCCUCCCCCAGCGGCCGCAGCCCCUCUCCUAAUUAGAUCGCUUUUCCCCUAGGUGCCAGGGAGAGGGGGUCCCCGCUGAAAGG